GGAUCGGCAUUAGCUCAAGCUUCCUCACAUUGGACUUUCCAUCCAUCUAAUCCCUGCGCUGGGGUUUGAGACCCAUGGGUGCUUUCUGACCCUUUA
rnacentral:vault_RNA from 1 species